CAUACUGUUUGUUAAUCACACU
rnacentral:miRNA from 1 species